CGGAAAUCGGGGAUAUAUCGGGGGACAUGAAAAAAAUAUCGGAUUGCCAUAUCGGAUAGGUUGAUAUAAUAUCAUAAAUGGAAUCUUCACAUACUUGAUAAUUAUAUUGUCUAAACAUAUGAAAAAGUACAUAUGAGAAGGUCUUCAUUUUCACAAGCAACCACCAAGUUUUUGCUUUUGCAUAGAAAACCAAAUAGACACUAGAACAGCUUAACUGCAUAUGUUUAGACAAUUCUUAUUAAAGUAUAAUAAUUAUCCAGAAUAUAAAAAUUACUAAUACAAUUCUUUAUACACAACUUUAUUUAUUAAUGUAAAGAUUUAUUAAUUGUUCAAUUUAAGAAUUUAUGUUAUUAUAAAAGUCACUUCAUAAUUUUACACUAA